rnacentral:rRNA from 1 species
AUGAACGCUAGCGACAGGCUUAACACAUGCAAGUCGAGGGGCAGCACAGGUAGCAAUACCGGGUGGCGACCGGCGCACGGGUGAGUAACGCGUAUGCAACUUACCUAUCAGAGGGGGAUAACCCGGCGAAAGUCGGACUAAUACCGCAUGAAGCAGGGGCCCCGCAUGGGGAUAUUUGCUAAAGAUUCAUCGCUGAUAGAUAGGCAUGCGUUCCAUUAGGCAGUUGGCGGGGUAACGGCCCACCAAACCGACGAUGGAUAGGGGUUCUGAGAGGAAGGUCCCCCACAUUGGUACUGAGACACGGACCAAACUCCUACGGGAGGCAGCAGUGAGGAAUAUUGGUCAAUGGCCGAGAGGCUGAACCAGCCAAGUCGCGUGAGGGAUGAAGGUUCUAUGGAUCGUAAACCUCUUUUAUAAGGGAAUAAAGUGCGGGACGUGUCCCGUUUUGUAUGUACCUUAUGAAUAAGGAUCGGCUAACUCCGUGCCAGCAGCCGCGGUAAUACGGAGGAUCCGAGCGUUAUCCGGAUUUAUUGGGUUUAAAGGGUGCGUAGGCGGCCUUUUAAGUCAGCGGUGAAAGUCUGUGGCUCAACCAUAGAAUUGCCGUUGAAACUGGGGGGCUUGAGUAUGUUUGAGGCAGGCGGAAUGCGUGGUGUAGCGGUGAAAUGCAUAGAUAUCACGCAGAACCCCGAUUGCGAAGGCAGCCUGCCAAGCCAUGACUGACGCUGAUGCACGAAAGCGUGGGGAUCAAACAGGAUUAGAUACCCUGGUAGUCCACGCAGUAAACGAUGAUCACUAGCUGUUUGCGAUACACUGUAAGCGGCACAGCGGAAGCGUUAAGUGAUCCACCUGGGGAGUACGCCGGCAACGGUGAAACUCAAAGGAAUUGACGGGGGCCCGCACAAGCGGAGGAACAUGUGGUUUAAUUCGAUGAUACGCGAGGAACCUUACCCGGGUUUGAACGCAUUCGGACCGAGGUGGAAACACCUUUUCUAGCAAUAGCCGUUUGCGAGGUGCUGCAUGGUUGUCGUCAGCUCGUGCCGUGAGGUGUCGGCUUAAGUGCCAUAACGAGCGCAACCCUUGCCACUAGUUACUAACAGGUAAAGCUGAGGACUCUGGUGGGACUGCCAGCGUAAGCUGCGAGGAAGGCGGGGAUGACGUCAAAUCAGCACGGCCCUUACAUCCGGGGCGACACACGUGUUACAAUGGCGUGGACAAAGGGAAGCCACCUGGCGACAGGGAGCGAAUCCCCAAACCACGUCUCAGUUCGGAUCGGAGUCUGCAACCCGACUCCGUGAAGCUGGAUUCGCUAGUAAUCGCGCAUCAGCCAUGGCGCGGUGAAUACGUUCCCGGGCCUUGUACACACCGCCCGUCAAGCCAUGGGAGCCGGGGGUACCUGAAGUCCGUAACCGCGAGGAUCGGCCUAGGGUAAAACUGGUGACUGGGGCU